rnacentral:lncRNA from 1 species
UUGCAGAUUGUUUUGAAGCAAGCAAUUUUGGAAGUUCCAAUUUCCGGGCAGAUUUCGGAUUUUGAUAAUACUAUUUUACUCACACGAAACUCAAUCAAACAACUCAACAGAGUUCUUCAUAAAGCAGGUGCAAAGAAAAUAGCAGCUCUCGAAAGAAUGAUAAAAUUCAACGGCCAAAUAGUAAAUCUCCAAUGGGAAUACGAUAAAUUGACGAACCGCAUAGAAAAUCUAGAGAAGCGGCUGCAAUAUUUGGAAAAAUUUAAAGUCACCAAAGAAAUCUUCGAGAAUCUUCAAAAAUUCUCGGGUGGAAUGGACCCGCGUGAAAAGGAAGGAAUCGAUAUGGAUGCCAAAGCAAUGGCUUUACGAGAGUCCCUGAGAAAAAAAAUGCGUCUCGUUAUAGAGGAAACAGACCGAACCGAAAGAAAGAUCAAUCGGAUAAAAGAUGAUAACAAAAGAAUGGAAGAGAGAAUGAAAGAUAUUUCAAAGAAAAUAACCCAGCUGAAGCAAAGGAGGGAUUUCAAAUUUGAAGAGACACUAAAUGACGUCACAAGGCACAGAUUGCUGCUGAUAUCCCGCCGAGGCACCCUCCUGACAGAAAUUCAGCAACUAGACUCUAACGUAUCGACGCUGCAGUCUAAGCUCGAGUUACUGCGGAUGAAGACAUAUCCUACCCUAAAGGCCAGCCCAAUAACUUAAAGUAUCCAAGGCCCGAAGAGAUCGGAAAUAUUUGUAUUACAGAAUUUCAAGGUGAAAUCGCCCCGAAGUUCAUACAUGUUUCCUCCAUUGAGAGCGAUAACUAUAGCGGUGGGAGAAAAUCGCGUUCUCAGAACUUAAAAAUAGCAAACAAUUUGAUGUAACAAACGUGCAUACAUAAGAAAAGCGUAGAUAAUAAUGAAAACAUGUCUCCUUGUUGAUGUUUUUAAACGUAAAUAAAUUAUUUAUCCACUUCACACACCUGAUGUUUUAUAUUCUUUAAAUCUGCGCAUCCUGUUUAAAAAAUGCCAUGGAAAUAUUUUUUUUUAUGGUUUAUUAUGAAGUUCAAAUUUUUUAAUUAAACAUGAAAAUACUAGUAUAUUUGUAUUUUAUUAUUAUUUUUUAUUUUUUCAUAUUUUCAUACUUUUUAUUUCUUGUUUUUAUUUUUAUUUUAUUCUAGUUUUUA